rnacentral:rRNA from 1 species
ACAGCAGUAGCCACGGUAACACGAAGGGGGCUAGCGUUGUUCGGAUUUACUGGGCGUAAAGGGCGCGUAGGCGGACUGAUAAGUCAGGGGUGAAAUCCCAAGGCUCAACCUUGGAACUGCCUUUGAUACUGUUUGUCUUGAGUUCGAGAGAGGUAAGUGGAACUGCGAGCGUAGAGGUGAAAUUCGUAGAUAUUCGCAAGAACACCAGUGGCGAAGGCGGCUUACUGGCUCGAUACUGACGCUGAGGCGCGAAAGCGUGGGGAGCAAACAGGAUUAGAUACCCGGGUAGUCCCUGUCUCUUAUAC